rnacentral:rRNA from 1 species
UACGUAUGGACCAAGCGUUGUUCGGAUUUACUGGGCGUAAAGGGCGCGUAGGCGGCGUGACAAGUCACUUGUGAAAUCUCUGGGCUUAACCCAGAACGGCCAAGUGAAACUGUUGUGCUAGAGUGCAGAAGGGGCAAUCGGAAUUCUCGGUGUAGCGGUGAAAUGCGUAGAUAUCGAGAGGAACACCAGAGGUGAAGACGGGUUGCUGGGCUGACACUGACGCUGAGGCGCGAAAGCCAGGGGAGCAAACGGG